UACAGAGGUGGCAAGCGUUGUUCGGAAUUACUGGGCGUAAAGGGCGCGUAGGCGGCCUUCUAAGUCGGACGUGAAAGCCCCAGGCUUAACCUGGGAACUGCGUCCGAUACUGGGAGGCUUGGAUUCGGGAGAGGGAUGUGGAAUUCCAGGUGUAGCGGUGAAAUGCGUAGAUAUCUGGAGGAAUACCGAUGGCGAAGGCAGCCCCCUGGCCUGAUACUGACACUGAGGUGCGAAAGCAUGGGGAGCAAACAGGAUUAGAUACCCCGGUAGU
rnacentral:rRNA from 1 species